rnacentral:tRNA from 1 species
GACAUACCUUUAUAGAGAAAAAAGCUUCUAACUUUCUUUCUAAGCAGUGAAACACUGUUUAUAUGUCU